CAGGAGCUGCUACAGUGGGGACAGCCUGAAUCCAGGCUCACUGCCCGCCUGGACAGCAAAAUGAGGCCUAUUUUUUUGUAUGUUCUUCCAGGGCAGAAAGACCAGAAGGGCUUUGCCCAGCCUCUGGAUACCCCCAGGAGCCGAGGAUGUUUUGUCAGGGGGCACAUGAGAUGCUACUGUGUGACAGUGCCAAGCACAAUGAGGACGCUUCAGAAAGGAGGAUGCAUCAGAAGGCUGCCUCUUAUUCUGGUUUUUGGCUCAGAGCCCAGAAGGGAGGCUCCUUCAAUAAUCCUGUCUGAACUUAGGACAUCUGCCUUUCCCUCCAAGUCUGAAUCCAAUUAUCAGCAAAAAGCAGCCUGAGCUCACCUUCUAACAUCUCCCCAGCGCCUUUGGGGUAGGUGAAAAGGGCCUUCCGUGGUGGGGCAAGGUCUGAGACACUGAAACCAGAUCCACUGACAGAACUUCCACUGACCCCACCGGCUGAGGAGGACGAGGAAGAGGCAGCCAUUUCCUUCCUAGCAGAAGUCUCCCUUCACUGCGGAGAAAGAAAACAGCAGUUGGCACAUUUAUGGGAGUGAGAGCGACAUUUCAUUCUAGCUGCCAUAAAAGCCAGCACAAGUUUAGUAAAAAAUUGGCUCCCCCCUUUUUCUACCCUCUACUCCUACGAUCUUUUAUUGAGCCUCAGGCCAAAAUGUCACUCAGGAUUUUAAGUGAAGAUAUGUUUAUUCUUAGUUUUUCUACUUAAAACACUAUUUCCUACCAUUAGUAAACUGUUUAUGUCACUUGG